GGGGCGCUAAGGGGCCAGUAAUCCAAGAGCUUCGCUGUUUCUUAACCGUGAAUGUCCUCCACAAUGUUAGCAAUGGUCAGGUUGGGGAUGGGCUGUUGCGGGUGAUUUCUUUACAUGGUAUUUGCUUAUAGUGCUUGGAUUUUUUUUCUUUCUUUUUUUUUUUUUUUGCCAAUGUAUUUAAAUUUUCACAAAAACAAAAGCCUUUUUAAAAGCAAAAAGAUAGGUCAGGAGUUCGAGACCAGCCUGGCCAACAUGGUGAAACCCCCAUCUCUACUAAAAAUACAAAAAUUAGCCGGGCAUGGUGACGCGCACCCGUAAUCCCAGCUACUUAGGAAGCUGAGGCAGGAGAAUGGCUUGAACCUGGCAGGCGGAGGUUGCAGUGAGCCGAGCUCACACCAGUACACUCCAGCCUGGGUGACAGAGUGAGACUCCGUCUAAAAAAAAAAAAAAAAAAAAGCCAUGAGACGGGCAAGUGAAAGUCUGAAACAGAUGUAGAUUCCAAUUCUCCUAUUUCUGCCACUUAGCCAUGCUGGGUCUCAGCAUCUCAUUUGCAAAAGGCCUUGCUGAGUUUCUCUAGGGGCAGGUAGCACACACCUGCCUUAUGUCAUGUGUUUGGAAAAACUUUUGUCUCCUCAUAACUCCAGCACAGCUCAGAGAUGGGAAGGCGACUUUUUAUAUUAACCUGAGGAGGGUAUUAAAUGAAGAAGGCAAUCCAGACAAGUGGCUAUUUCCUCCUAGCUUUGGCUCUGGGGACACCUUGGCAUCCUGGGUGACAUGGUAGGUUACAGAGCCGCUAAAAUGGGCAUGGGCAGACACACUGAUCCAAUACUAAGAGUUCAGCUGUAGCGUCCGGUGUUUCAUGAUACUCACUUGUCUUCCUCCCUUGCAACCCAGCCAUUUCAUGGGACCAACGGGCCACCACAGGGCAUGGGAUCAGAUCUCAACACAUUCUGCAGGCCCUUGUCGAAAUUCUUCCCUAGUUCACUAGUGGGAGAGGGAUUGGGUGUGGUUGCCAAAGAAAUAAAAGCG
rnacentral:lncRNA from 1 species